rnacentral:rRNA from 1 species
AACGAACGCUGGCGGCGUGUUUAAGACAUGCAAGUCGAACGGAGUGAGGUUGUAGUAAUACUAUUUCAUUCAGUGGCGCACGGGUGCGUAACACGUGAGUGACAUGCCCUGCAGUGGAGAAUAACCGGCCGAAAGGCUGACUAAUACCCCAUGGACCCUCCUGGGAAAGGAAGGGUAAAGGUGGCGCAAGCUGCCGCUGUGGGAUUGGCUCGCGGCCUAUCAGCUAGUUGGUGAGGUAACGGCUUACCAAGGCGACGACGGGUACCUGGUCUGAGAGGACGAUCAGGCACACUGGAACUGAGACACGGUCCAGACACCUACGGGUGGCAGCAGUCGAGAAUAAUUCACAAUGGGGGAAACCCUGAUGGUGCAACACCGCGUGGAGGAUGAAGGUCUUCGGAUUGUAAACUCCUGUCAUCCGGGAGUAAGACCUGGGCGUGAAUAGCGCACAGGGUUGAUAGUACCGGAAGAGGAAGGGACGGCUAACUUCGUGCCAGCAGCCGCGGUAAUACGAAGGUCCCAAGCGUUGUUCGGAAUCACUGGGCGUAAAGGGAGCGUAGGCUGCGCGGUAAGUCAGGUGUGAAAUCCCGGGGCUCAACCCCGGAACUGCACCCGAUACUGCCGUGCUUGAGUGUUGGAGGGGUGACUGGAAUUCUCGGUGUAGCAGUGAAAUGCGUGGAUAUCGAGAGGAACACUCGUGGCGAAGGCGAGUCACUGGACAACUACUGACGCUGAGGCUCGAAGGCCAGGGUAGCGAAAGGGAUUAGAUACCCCUGUAGUCCUGGCAGUAAACGGUGUGCGCUUGGUGUGAGGGGAUUCGACCCCCCUUGUGCCGGAGCUAACGCGUUAAGCGCACCGCCUGGGAAGUACGGCCGCAAGGCUAAAACUCAAAGAAAUUGACGGGGACCCGCACAAGCGGUGGAGUAUGUGGCUUAAUUCGAUGCAACGCGAAGAACCUUACCAAGGCUUGACAUGCAUCUCUAAGCGCGUGAAAGCGCGUGACUCUUCGGAGGAUUUGCACAGGUGCUGCAUGGCCGUCGUCAGCUCGUGUCGUGAGAUGUUGGGUUAAGUCCCGCAACGAGCGCAACCCCUGUGAUUAGUUGCCAGCGCGUAAAGGUGGGGACUCUAAUCAGACUGCCCAGAUCAACUGGGAGGAAGGUGGGGACGACGUCAGGUCAGUAUGGCCCUUACGCCUUGGGCUGCACACGUACUACAAUGUCCAGUACAAUGAGAACCGAGACCGCGAGGUGGAGGAAAUCUGUAAAACUGGGCUCAGUUCGGAUUGGAGGCUGCAACUCGCCUCCAUGAAGCCGGAAUCGCUAGUAAUGCGGCAUCAGCUACGGCCGCGUGAAUACGUUCCCGGGUCUUGUACACACCGCCCGUCACAUCAUGGAAGCCGGUAGCACCCGAAGUAUCGUACGAUCCUAAGGUGAAGCUGGUAACUGGGAUG